UACAGAGGGUGCGAGCGUUAAUCGGAAUUACUGGGCGUAAAGCGUGCGUAGACGGUUUCGUAAGUCGGGUGUGAAAGCCCCGGGCUCAACCUGGGAAUUGCAUUCGAGACUGCGUAGCUAGGGUGCGGAAGAGGGAAGCGGAAUUUCCGGUGUAGCGGUGAAAUGCGUAGAUAUCGGGAGGAACACCUGUGGCGAAAGCGGCUCACUGGACCACAACUGACGCUGAGGCGCGAAAGCUAGGGGAGCAAACAGG
rnacentral:rRNA from 1 species